CCUACGGGAGGCAGCAGUGGGGAAUCUUGCGCAAUGGGCGAAAGCCUGACGUAGCAACGCCGCGUGAGGGACGAAGGUUUUCUGAAUUGUAAACCUCUUUCAGCAGGGAAGAUAAUGACGGUACCUGCAGAAGAAGCACCGGCUAACUACGUGCCAGCAGCCGCGGUGAUACGUAGGGUGCAAGCGUUGUCCGGAUUUAUUGGGCGUAAAGAGCUCGUAGGCGGUUUGGUAAGUCGGUUGUGAAAUCCCCAGGCUCAACCUGGGGCCUGCAUUCGAUACUGCCAUGACUAGAGUUUGGUAGGGGACCACGGAAUUCCUGGUGUAGCGGUGGAAUGCGCAGAUAUCAGGAGGAACACCAGUAGCGAAGGCGGUGGUCUGGGCCAAUACUGACGCUGAGGAGCGAAAGCGUGGGGAGCAAACAGGAUUAGAUACCCGUGGUAGUCCACGCCGUAAACGGUGGGCACUAGGUGUGGGGACUAUUCAACGGUUUCCGCGCCGACGCUAACGCAUUAAGUGCCCGCCUGGGGAGUACGGCCGCAAGGCUAAACUCAAAUGAAUUGACGG
rnacentral:rRNA from 1 species